GUGUUCUGAGCCUUAAGGUAUGGUUGCAGCAAUGACGCAUUGCAGAACCAAACAAUUUAGUCCUUAGGGUAGACUAUCCAAAAGCCAAUAAACAACAACAAAAAAUAAGCUUUCAAACUAACAAGAGAAGACAAGAUUGCAGCGCCUUCAUAACAGUGUUGCUUUAUUGAUGCAAUGCAAGAAAAACUACGUUAGAAUCUAUUGAUUCUCUUUGAGAUUUAGUGAUAUGCUUUAUUCAAAUUCUAUUCACAAACCACUUCCUCCACUUGUCUUUCACAGGAACUGAAAUUGGCCAGUUACAAGCAGAAUUGGUUCUACUGUCCUUAGAAUCACAGAAGCAGACAUGUUUUAGAAUACAAAGACACUAAGCUUUCUUUGGGAAACAUGUCCUGUUGAG
rnacentral:antisense_RNA from 1 species